UUUACACAAUAAAAUUAGGUUUCUAGGUGAAAAGGAGUCAGUUAUACGAAAUGCAUUCGUGUUUGGAGGAAAUAUGUCACUCUAUGGUCGCCGUAGAAGCAUUAUUUCAAAACGCACAAACGAGGGUCUCUGGCUGUGGCAGGUCUGCCUCUUCUCCCUCACUCGUGGAUUGUAAGACGUGGGAGUGCAGAGUGCAAGACAUCAGCGUCAUUGAGGUCUCUCUUACAGAAGCAUUACAGAUGUGCAGAAUUUCACACGCAUUGUGCAACUGAAGUCCAAGUUUAUGCCAGAACUUGACAUCUGCUCCAGGCUGUCUGCUGAGUGCCAUAGGAAGGGAGGAGAAACAAGACAUAAGAUUAAGGAGAUCAUGGCUGCCAUUGAUCGGAAUCCCAUCAUUGGCUCGUUGAGAGUUUGCCACCUGCAAGCACUUGUUGUGUACUUGAAGGCCCUGAGAAACUCAAAGGAAUACCUGAGCUGCCAGGACUGGUGUCAUCACUGAAAGCAGUCAUAAACAACAUGGCAGAUUCAUCUAUUUCCUCCAGCCAAAGCGACUCACCACGCACUAGCAGUGAGACUUGCAGUGAAGACAUGGUACUAUGACUGAAGUACCUUGAACCGAUCCCUCAUUAGCAUUGUGCAGGCCCUCCAUGAUUUUGUGAUCUUGCACGUUCACCAAUUCAUGCAAAUUCAGGGACUUUGCUGCAUUUGCGUGUUGUAAUAUUCAAUAAAUGUGAAUGGUGAUGUGUAGUUAUGUUCCUGUUAUUGUGUUAUUAGCAUUAUAUAUCCUUUGCUUGAAUUAUGUAUUUUUGUAAUUUUAUUGUAAUAAAGUUCCCUUUCUGAAA